UACGUAGGUGGCAAGCGUUGUCCGGAUUUACUGGGCGUAAAGAGCGCGCAGGCGGUCGUUCAAGUCGCGUGUGAAAGCCCCCGGUUCAACUGGGGAGGGUCACGCGAUACUGAUCGACUCGAAGGCAGGAGAGGGAAGUGGAAUUCCCGGUGUAGUGGUGAAAUGCGCAGAUAUCAGGAGGAACACCAAUGGCGAAGGCAGCUCACUGGGACGGUAUUGACGCUGAGACGCGAAAGCGUGGGGAGCAAACAGG
rnacentral:rRNA from 1 species